UCAGGAUGAACGCCGGCGGUGUGCCUAAUACAUGCAAGUCGAGCGCACUGGCCCAACUGAUAUGACGUGCUUGCACUGAAUUGACGUUGGAUUACCAGUGGGCGGCGGACGGGUGAGUAACACGUGGGCAACCUGCCCUGGAGCGGGGGAUAACAUCUGGAAACAGGUGCUAAUACCGCAUAACAACGAAAACCACAUGGUUUUCGUUUCAAAGAUGGUUUCGGCUAUCACUUCAGGAUGGGCCCGCGGUGCAUUAGCUAGUUGGUAAGGUAACGGCUUACCAAGGCAAUGAUGCAUAGCCGAGUUGAGAGACUGAUCGGCCACAAUGGAACUGAGACACGGUCCAUACUCCUACGGGAGGCAGCAGUAGGGAAUCUUCCACAAUGGGCGCAAGCCUGAUGGAGCAACACCGCGUGAGUGAAGAAGGGUUUCGGCUCGUAAAGCUCUGUUGUUGGAGAAGAACGUGCGUGAGAGUAACUGUUCACGCAGUGACGGUAUCCAACCAGUAAGUCACGGCUAACUACGUGCCAGCAGCCGCGGUAAUACGUAGGUGGCAAGCGUUAUCCGGAUUUAUUGGGCGUAAAGCGAGCGCAGGCGGUUGCUUAGGUCUGAUGUGAAAGCCUUCGGCUUAACCGAGGAAGGGCAUCGGAAACCGGGCGACUUGAGUGCAGAAGAGGACAGUGGAACUCCAUGUGUAGCGGUGGAAUGCGUAGAUAUAUGGAAGAACACCAGUGGCGAAGGCGGCUGUCUGGUCUGCAACUGACGCUGAGGCUCGAAAGCAUGGGUAGCGAACAGGAUUAGAUACCCUGGUAGUCCAUGCCGUAAACGAUGAGUGCUAGGUGUUGGAGGGUUUCCGCCCUUCAGUGCCGGAGCUAACGC
rnacentral:rRNA from 1 species